UACGUAGGGCGCAAGCGUUGUCCGGAAUUAUUGGGCGUAAAGAGCUCGUAGGCGGUUUGUCGCGUCUGCUGUGAAAACCUAAGGCUCAACCUUGGGCUUGCAGUGGGUACGGGCAGACUAGAGUGCGGUAGGGGUGACUGGAAUUCCUGGUGUAGCGGUGGAAUGCGCAGAUAUCAGGAGGAACACCGAUGGCGAAGGCAGGUCUCUGGGCGAUUAACUGACGCUGGAGGAGCGAAAGCAUGGGGAGCGAACAGG
rnacentral:rRNA from 1 species